AACCCAUGUUGAGGGCAUUUCCGCAUAAGCUCCUUGAAUCUAUCCCAUGUCUGAAAAAGAAACUCUAAUUAUGUUUGCACAAAGGAGGUAAUUUCAUUCCUGAGCUU